rnacentral:rRNA from 1 species
CACGGAGGGGGCUAGCGUUGUUCGGAAUUACUGGGCGUAAAGCGCACGUAGGCGGUUUGUUAAGUGAGAGGUGAAAUCCCAGAGCUCAACUCUGGAACUGCCUUUCAUACUGGCGAGCUAGAGUCCGGAAGAGGUAAGUGGAACUCCUAGUGUAGAGGUGGAAUUCGUAGAUAUUAGGAAGAACACCAGUGGCGAAGGCGGCUUACUGGUCCGGAACUGACGCUGAGGUGCG